rnacentral:lncRNA from 1 species
CUUCUUCUCCAGCGAGCAAAACAAGUGAGGGAACCUGGGUUUAUUAGAAACAUAAAAUCACAAACAUCAACAAACAACAACAACAAAAUAAUUCGUACAACAUAUCAAAUAUAAAAAAUUCCAAUUCCUUUCUCCUCUUCUUCUCCAGCCAUAUCAAAUAAUUCGUACAACAUCAACAAACACAAAAUCAAACCAAAAUCCAUAUAUUCUCAUCAUCAUCUCCAUUUGUUCUAAAAAAACAACAAAAUGGAACCUUGAUUAAAAGGGUUUAUUAGGAAGGUCUGUAACACUGGGAAGAGAAGGAGCAUAAAUAGAGUAAACAAUGGCUUGUUGUUUAGCAACAUCAAGCUGAGAUUUUCCAAACAAAAAAGCUUUGGAAAGCAAAGAAGGUUCAGAAAGUGUUGGGUUUGAACGAAACGCAUCGACGACGCGUUGUUUUGUAUUUUCGCGUAUGUUGUAAUCUGGAAAUUGGCGAGAAACGCGGAGAAGGGUUUGGGAUGCGACCUUGAACCACCACAAAUCCAACACUGUCAACUUCCGGUUCCUUCUGCACAGAUCUGUGUUUAUGGGUUUGGGAAGAGAAGAGAAGAGAGAAGAGAAGAGAAGAAGGGAAAAGAGGAAAAUGGAGAGAAGUGAUUUGAUGUUGAUGUUGUUCUGUUGAUGCAAAGAGGAAAAUAGGGAAUGAUUAGUGAUUUGAUGUUGUUCUGUUUUUAAAAGGGUACCUUGUUGUUGUUGUUGAUGUUGUUCCGUUGGACUUUUUUUUUAUAGAGAGAAAUGAUGAUUAGAGUGUUGAAGAUGAUGAUUUUCUUUUUUUUGGAUUUUUU